rnacentral:tRNA from 1 species
GGGGAUGUAGCUCGGUUGGUAGAGUGCUUGCCCGGAAUGCCCAAGGCCCUGGGUUCAAUCCCCAGCACCACCA